rnacentral:lncRNA from 1 species
CGUCUCAAUAAUUAAAGUUAUUUAAUGAUGAUGGAAAGGUAAAAAACAAAAAGAGUUAUGCUAAAUUGGUCGUCCAUCGUAGCAGCAUGAAAUGGUGCCCUGGUUGUCUCAAACUGCGAAUGGCAAAGUGCAGGGCAAUUUGUCGAACCGCCGAUUUGAUUCCAUGUGAACGCAUGAUAUCGUAUUUCCUCCUCGUCAAUUCACGGGCAUGAGCUAACAUAAUUAAUAAUAACAGCAUUUCAUUGAAGAACAAUACUUCAAGACAUCAGCUUUUCAGAUCACCCAAGGGCACAUCCACUCAUCAGCAGUGUCAUGAAUGUACAAGUGAUGUGGGGCUAAUCAUGUUAGUGAGAAGGCAUCGUUGGGUGGGCUUUUUUGAGAUACAAUAUUUCCUAAUGAAAUGUUUGGCAUCAGAAUAGCAAGAUAAAUCACUUAAGCCAUCUAUUGAGCAUGUCUCUGUAGCUAAAAUUUGAGCUUUGUAGACCCAAAAGAGAGAGUUGGGCCUUUUUGUGUGCGCUGUGGAUCAGAGGGGUUCCAAUUAGCUAAUAGUAGAAAAUCACCAGCUAGUUUGUGGGAAGAAAUAUGCUUAUAAUUACGCAGAAAAUAAUAGGAAAUUACCAAUCCUCGUUCACAUUCCUUGCAAGACAAGGGUCUAGUAAUAGCUUUGCUCUCUAGCUAGGUAAAAGCAUGGUCCGCUUGUACACAUAUUGGAACAAUAAUAUUAAAGCCAGACACAUCCCAGAAGCCUCUUAUUAAUUUCUAUAUCCAGAAGCAGCUUACGGCAGCCCUGUAGUUAUGGCUUGUAGGGUGGCUUCUGGUAAGGACCGAAUGGCUUCUUGGCAUGUGUCUCAGGCAAAGGCUUAGGGAUAUUGCUGGUGGUGGCACCACAAUUGAUGAGAUUUGGGCAUGGCUUUUCAAUAUGGGGUGGUUUGAGGUCUCCGAUAUAAGGCCCUUUGACAACCUGAGGUUUCCCUACAAGAGUCGAUGGUUUCUUCUCCGAGUGCUUGGAACUGGCGAUGGAGGGAGUGGUGAGAGCCACCGCUCCUAAAAGAAGAAAUAGAAGCAGGUAUUGUGUGAAGGAAGGGCGACCCAUGGUGUUCGUUCUGUGU